rnacentral:rRNA from 1 species
GAUGAACGCUAGCGGCAGGCCUAAUACAUGCAAGUCGAUCGGUGUCUUCGGACAUAGUGGCGCACGGGUGCGUAACACGUAUGCAACCUACCUUACAUUGGGGGAUAGCCUUUCGAAAGGGAGAUUAAUACCGCAUAAGACAGUAGCUGGGCAUCCAGCAGCUGUUAAAGAUUUAUCGAUGUAAGCUGGGCAUGCGUCCAAUUAGCUAGUUGGUGAGGUAACGGCUCACCAAGGCAAUGAUUGGUAGGGGAACUGAGAGGUCAAUCUCCAACGCUGGCACAGAGGUACGGGCCAGACUCCUACGCGAGGCAGCAGUAGGGAAUAUUGUGCAAUGGACGCAAGUCUGACCCAGCCAUGCCGCGUGCAGGAUGAAGGCGUUAUGCGUUGUAAACUGCUUUUAUACAGGAAGAAACGACUCUUGCGAGAGGCAUUGACGGUACUGUAUGAAUAAGCACCGGCUAACUCCGUGCCAGCAGCCGCCGUAAAAC